rnacentral:rRNA from 1 species
GAUGAACGCUGGCGGCGUGCCUAAUACAUGCAAGUCGAGCGAACGGACGAGAAGCUUGCUUCUCUGAUGUUAGCGGCGGACGGGUGAGUAACACGUGGAUAACCUACCUAUAAGACUGGGAUAACUUCGGGAAACCGGAGCUAAUACCGGAUAAUAUUUUGAACCGCAUGGUUCAAAAGUGAAAGACGGUAUUGCUGUCACUUAUAGAUGGAUCCGCGCUGCAUUAGCUAGUUGGUAAGGUAACGGCUUACCAAGGCAACGAUGCAUAGCCGACCUGAGAGGGUGAUCGGCCACACUGGAACUGAGACACGGUCCAGACUCCUACGGGAGGCAGCAGUAGGGAAUCUUCCGCAAUGGGCGAAAGCCUGACGGAGCAACGCCGCGUGAGUGAUGAAGGUCUUCGGAUCGUAAAACUCUGCUAUUAGGGAAGAACAUAUGUGUAAGUAACUGUGCACAUCUUGACGGUACCUAAUCAGAAAGCCACGGCUAACUACGUG